UCCGGCAUGGUCUAGUGGUUAGGAUACCUGGCUCUCACCCAGGAGGCCCGGGUUCAUUUUCCGGUGUCGGAA